CGCGAUUCGCUGCGUCGUGCUUGCUGAGGACGAGAUGCGUUAGCCCGUCUCCGUCGUUUAGCCGUGUCUGCGCUUUCCUCGUCGAGGCGUGACG